CCCUUAGAUGUCCUGGGCUGCACGCGCGCUACACUGAUGUGUCCAGUAAGCACCUAACCUCUUCCGAAAGGAACGGGUAACCUUUGCAAAGCACAUCGUGAUGGGGAUAGAUUAUUGCAAUUAUUAGUCUUGAACGAGGAAUUCCUAGUAAGCACAAGUCAUCAGCUUGUGUUGAUUACGUCCCUGCCCUUUGUACACACCGCCCGUCGCUCCUACCGAUUGAAUGUUCCGGUGAGCUCUUCGGACUGCGCGGUCUGCAGUUUCUGCGUUCCGUGCGGAAAGUUGCGCAAACCUUAACAUUUAGAGGAAGGAGAAGUCGUACA
rnacentral:rRNA from 1 species